UCGAAAGAUAAGGGGUGCCUUAAAUAUAACGGGCUGAGAUUAUACCCAAUGAACCUGAUGCCGGUAAUGCGGUCGAAGGGAGGCAAGGUUAAACAUAC
rnacentral:ncRNA from 1 species